UGAGACUUGAGGUCCCACAUGGUACAGACUUUGGGGGCCAAGAAACAAGAAAGGGACAUGGUCAUGAAGACUUCUCAUUGAGCGAGUGGCCAGAAGCAUCUCAGUGGUCAAGUAGAGCAAAGAUGAACUGCUAUGGAAUCAUACCUAUCCCAUAUUAUAAUCAUGAUUUUUUUUGAACCCCAAGGCAUUCCAAGUGGAUAAACAGAAUUUCCCAUUCAGCAUGAGAAAACAGAAAGCAGCCAGAGUCAUCAUAUAAACAUUUCCUCUCCGAAAGGACCACUCAGAAAUACUAUAAAUGGGAUUCAGAGGAACUUGUCACAGUUGUGCUUUGC